AGCUGGGGGCUCCUUGAUUCUCACCUGAU
rnacentral:piRNA from 1 species